rnacentral:rRNA from 1 species
AUGGACCUGGAUGGCUUCCCACUUGACCACGAGUUUCCGGAUGACUACGGGCAAGAGGAAGAAGAGAAGUGCGACAUCGAAGUGGAGCCUUUGUUUGAGGACGAGCUUGCCAACCAAGCUGCAGGGCCAAAGCCGAAGCGCAAGAGCAAGCGCACGAAGGCAUACACGGCGGCCGAUGACAAGCUUCUUUACGAGUGUUGGAGGGACAUUGGACAAGACCCCAAGACCGGCGCCGAACAAAAGCAUUCAACUUUUUGCAUUCGUGCCCACCGGGAGUUUCAUGAGCGCAAGAAGUUUCCUCCUUACCAAAUUGUGAGCACGCGUGGGUGGGUGUCCAUUUCGAAGCGAUGGAGAGUGAUCCAACAAGAGUGCAACAAGUUUUGUGCCACUCUUGGAAGCGUUAAGGCCCGCCCCGUGAGUGGCAUCGGCAUGCAAGACAUGUUAUGGUAG